GGGGACAAGUCCUUCCACCGAGGCCGGGUCCCCGCGCCUUCCCUAGCGCCCUGCCUCUCUUUGGCCGCGCUCGCAGGACCGCCUGUAGGAGAGUGAAGCCCCAGGGUUUCCUUGCUGAUGGAGUCCCCCACCUUCCCCAGCCUUCCUGUUCCCGGGCUGGUUACGGCGGCGAAGGGAGACCUUGCCUCUCCCCAGCCUUGGAAGCAGAGGGCUGGAGGUGGCCUUAUGUCCACUGCCUGCGACUCUGGACUUGAAGGGAAGAAGUAAUCGAUCAUGAUGACCGUGAAAGAAACACGUCUCCCUUCAUCCCAGGACCCCUGGUGGACACUGGGUGGUUUAGCAUCCGGACUAUGGAGAUGCUUUGGAGGUGUUGGCAGGACUACGGUUGAGCCCUUAUUUGAUAUUUACCGAUUGAGAAAGAACCAAGAUUAAGAGGCCUGGAACUCAUCAGGGGUAUUUUAUUUAUCCUGCCUUUUCCUCAUUUCCUCUCCUGCUGUCAUGCUUGUUUAUUGAGCACCUACUGUUUAUGGGAAGAAAAGAUAAUAGACAAGAUACUUGACCUCAAACCCAUGAAAAUUUAAUAGUUACAUGUCAUCAUCCUCGGGCCAGCAGCGGUAUGUGUUCUGGUCUUGCUUCCUGGACCACCCAGAAGAGACUUUAUAGCCCCAGCCAUCAGGGGUAUAGUGUGUGCCCAGUGUGUUUUCUAUCCCUGGCUUCCAAAAAGUCCUGGAAGAAAGAAUAGGUGUGACCAGAAAGUCCUUCACCUCCGGAAUCUAAGUGGAUAUGAGUUUCGCUCCUUGUUGCCCAGGCUGCAGUGCAGUGGCGUGAUCUUGGCUCACUGCAACCUCCGCCUCCUGGGCUCAAGUGCUUCUUCUGCCUCAGCCUCCUGAGUAAUUGGGAUUACAGGCAAGGAAUCAAGGCUUCUAGACACCACCGGAUGAGUCAAGGUACCGUGGCCCAGACAAACUAAGCACUGGUUCUGUCACCACAUAGACACAAAGGCAUUCAAGAAACCACAGCCCUCUGGCUUUGUUGCUCCUUCCUUCAUAAUCAAAUCAACAGAGUGUGUUUGUAGAAUUCACCCACAACACAAACAGAUGCCGCGAAACACCUUGGAGCGGUUGGCCGGCAGAAAUGCCCACUGAGCGGGCUGUGAUUCACUCGGGAGGAGGAAGGCCUCGGAGGGCAGCCAAUCGAAGACGGACCCAGGGAAAAGUCGCUGGGUUCUUACAGGAAGCGAUCUAAUUAUGUUACUGUAAUCCUCAAGCUCGCAUUUUUCAGCCACCUCAACACGAACUCACAGACUUCAACGAUUAUGUAAUUACGGAAAACUUCACAACAAACAUGAAGAUUCCUUCUGGAGGCCACAUUGAAGACCGGGAUGUGCAUUAGAGCGUGGGAGGGAAGCACGCAGCUCACAAAAGGAAGAGCAAAGAGAUGUAUUGAACUUAAAAGGUUACAUUUGAAAAGGGGCCCCUACCAGACCUCCCCUUUUGUGUGCACAUUUUUUGCACCUGCAACUGUUUGCGGGCUCGAAAGCAAUAGCCCUCCCCCUUCUCCCAAGAGGCCACGCUUUCAUGCCUUGGCCCCAAAUGUGUCAUUUUCCUGCCAGGGGGAGAAAUCAAAAGAAACCAAGUUUUUAGAACUUUGCUGUAAAGAAAAUAAUAGUUUUGAAAAGGAUUGGAGCCACAUUUUCAGGUUAGACACAGUUGUUAGAGAAAUGUCAGAAGGAAAACGUUCCUCUUCACUUUCUUUCCUAGCUCGUUGAAGUUCUUCAUUUCACUGGGUUCUGGGUGACAUCUGUAGCAUCCAUUUCAGCGCAGUCUGCAGCAGGCUUUUGACUCCACAGCAUGUAACUGUCCUCAGACCACCGUGUUCAAAGUCGAGAUUCCAAAUGGACCUUCCUGACUCUUCACAGAGAAGAUGCCAUAUAAAUCAUUUCCAUUAAAACAAACCUUUGAUACCACCAGCGAAUUGUGGAAUUUUGAUAAUGAUGCUUGUGAAUGAAGUGCUGACAAAUGGUCUUGCUUUAGAUGGUGUUUGUGGGUGGGGCUUGGGUUAGAGCCAGGAUCAACCUUGAUUUUGGCCACUGAUCCAUUUCCUCUCUCCCCACCACCCACCUCAUAUGUUGAGAUGAAAGUUACAGCAGAAAGCCUCUUUUGAACCAUUAUGAACAAUUCUAUUCAAAGCAGCAUCUGUGAAUUUUUAUAAGACUGGCCAAGAUUGGCUCAAUUAUUUCUCCAUUCUCUCCAGGGGAUAGAAAGUUUCCAAUCAAGGGUUACAAUGGAAGCAAAAAUGUUAUGUUCAUGGGAGGUAGAAUGCAUUGCUAAAUAGAUGGAAGACAAAAUAA
ensembl:lncRNA novel transcript